GCUGGCGGCAUGCCUAACACAUGCAAGUCGAACGGUAACGCGGAGAGCUUGCUCUCUGGCGACGAGUGGCGGACGGGUGAGUAAUACUUAGGAAUCUGCCCAGUAGUGGGGGACAACAUUCGGAAACGGAUGCUAAUACCGCAUACGCACUACGGUGGAAAGUGGGGGAUCUUCGGACCUCACGCUAUUGGAUGAGCCUAAGUCGGAUUAGCUUGUUGGUGAGGUAAUGGCUCACCAAGGCGACGAUCUGUAGCUGGUCUGAGAGGACGAUCAGCCACACUGGGACUGAGACACGGCCCAGACUCCUACGGGAGGCAGCAGUGGGGAAUAUUGGACAAUGGGCGCAAGCCUGAUCCAGCAAUGCCGCGUGUGUGAAGAAGGCCUGCGGGUUGUAAAGCACUUUCAGUAGAGAAGAAAAGCCCAGGGUUAAUACCCCUGAGUCUUGACGUAACCUACAGAAGAAGCACCGGCUAACUCCGUG
rnacentral:rRNA from 1 species